GGGUUAGUAGGUUGGUCAUGCCUCUGGUAUGUACUGGUCUCACUGAUUCCUCCUUCUGAACAACCAGCAUGCUAUUAAUUUGGUGUUUUGGGGAAUUUGGACUGUUACUUUGAAAGAAUUAGAGUGUUUAAAGCAAGCUAACGCUUGAAUACAUUAGCAUGGAAUAAUGAAAUAGGACGUUCGAUCCUAUUUUGUUGGUUUCUAGGAUUGACGUA
rnacentral:rRNA from 1 species